UCCGCGCCUGAGCGUCCAGCUUGCCGCAGCGCUGCCCGGCCUCAGACCGCUGCCCCGAGACCACCUGCCCCCCGACCCUCACCUUCCCCCCCGCCCCCACCAGGCUCCUAGGUCCCCAUAGGAAAGUUGUACCGUUUGAGAAAUCACCGUUCGGACACAUCUAAGUUUUCAACUACUAGAAUUGCCCCAAAAGAGGGCAAGUAGUGCCUUCCUCCGGUGUCGCUGGGUUCUUCUCCCUGAACCUGCUGGCUGGGCGACCACCAGGCCACGUCCUGCCUCUGGUGGCCUGGAAAACAGGAUGCCCUGGAGUUUGCUUUCUGGUUUCUAGAAGCCUCUCCCCCUCCUGGCAAACAACGUUUUCCCCCCCUUUUCACAAGGAAAGCCUUCAAAACACAUGUCUUCCCAUUUGGAGGGAAUGUAAAGGCCACUGCAACUGAAAAUGGAACUGAGGCCCAAUAUUUUGCUCCCCCGCUGCUGCCCACAAGCCUCCCACUUGCCUGACAGUGACAGUGGCUGUGAGAUCAAACUGACUUAAGCUGAGGCAUCAAUGGCUAGCAAGCCUCACAAGGCUCGGGCUAGUACCUCC